rnacentral:misc_RNA from 1 species
UCGAGUCCCGGUAGCGAAA